GAGAUUGACCCCCAGGGAGCCCAGGAGAGGCAGCAGCAGCAGGGUGUCGUCCCCUUCCUGGGCACGUUCCUCUAUCACCUGAAGCUGCUGGACAUUGGGAUGGCGGAUGAUCUGGAAAAAUUCAAAGUCAUCUGGAGGAUCCAGCUGCUCCAGCAGGCUGCAAAUGCAUAUGACCUGGAGCCCGACGAGCGAUUUGGGGCCUGGUUCCAGGCCAUGGAGCCCAUCAGUGUCCA